CCAAUAGCGUAUAUUAAAGUUGUUGCAGUUAAAAAGCUCGUAGUUGAAUUUCGGGAUCAGUUGGUCGGUCGUGCCUCGGUACGUACUGGUCAAAUUGAUUCCUACCUUCUGACGAACCACGAUGUCAUUAAUUUGGUGUCGUGGGAAAUCAGUACUGUUACUUUGAAAAAAUUAGAGUGUUUAAAGCAGGCUCGCGCUUGAAUACAUUAGCAUGGAAUAAUGAAAGAGGACGUUUGAUUCUAUUUUGUUGGUUUCUAGGAUCGACGUAAUGAUUAAUAGGGAUAGUUGGGGGCAUUAGUAUUCAAUUGUCAGAGGUGAAAUUCUUGGAUUUAUUGAAGACUAACUACUGCGAAAGCAUUUGCCAAGGAUGUUUUCAUUAAUCAAGAACGAAAGUUAGGGGAUCGAAGACGAUCAGAUACCGUCGUAGUCUUAACCAUAAACUAUGCCGACUAGGGAUCGGAUGAUGUUAAUUUUUUAAUGACUCAUUCGGCGCCUUACG
rnacentral:rRNA from 1 species